AGCGAACGCUGGCGGCAGGCCUAACACAUGCAAGUCGAACGAUCCUUCGGGAUAGUGGCGGACGGGUGAGUAACACGUGGGAACGUGCCCUUUGGUUCGGAACAACUCAGGGAAACUUGAGCUAAUACCGAAUGUGCCCUUCGGGGGAAAGAUUUAUCGCCAUUGGAGCGGCCCGCGUCUGAUUAGCUAGUUGGUGAGGUAAUGGCUCACCAAGGCGACGAUCAGUAGCUGGUCUGAGAGGAUGAUCAGCCACACUGGGACUGAGACACGGCCCAGACUCCCACGGGAGGCAGCAGUGGGGAAUCUUGCGCAAUGGGCGAAAGCCUGACGCAGCCAUGCCGCGUGAAUGAUGAAGGUCUUAGGAUUGUAAAAUUCUUUCACCGGGGACGAUAAUGACGGUACCCGGAGAAGAAGCUCCGGCUAACUUCGUGCCAGCCGCCGCAGUAAUAC
rnacentral:rRNA from 1 species